AGAGUUUGAUCAUGGCUCAGGAUGAACGCUAGCUACAGGCUUAACACAUGCAAGUCGAGGGGAAACGACAUCGAAAGCUUGCUUUUGAUGGGCGUCGACCGGCGCACGGGUGAGUAACGCGUAUCCAACCUGCCCACCACUUGGGGAUAACCUUGCGAAAGUAAGACUAAUACCCAAUGACGUCUCUAGAAGACAUCUGAAAGAGAUUAAAGAUUUAUCGGUGAUGGAUGGGGAUGCGUCUGAUUAGCUUGGUUGGCGGGGUAACGGCCCGCCAAGGCUACGAUCAGUAGGGGUUCUGAGAGGAAGGUCCCCCANAUUGGAACUGAGACACGGUACCAAACUCCGUACGGGAGGCA
rnacentral:rRNA from 1 species